rnacentral:lncRNA from 1 species
AGUGGAUUUAUUUUCGGAUUUUUGUGAAUUGUAAAUAAAACUUUGUAAUUUUCUAUGUAUCACUGACAUUUCUAUAAGCCUCGCAUGUUCGUGUCGUACACGCGCGUCCAUGUCAUACACGUGUCCGAUGUGGACACUCUUUGGACACACGUUUAAUGUUGAUCAUAGGGCAUACAACUAAAAUAAAUAUAUACAUAUUUUUCUUUUACUUUUUCUAUGCAUAUAUAAUAUAAGAUGAUAAAUAGUUUAGCUUUUUGAUGAAUAUAUACAAUUUUUUUGACAAUACAAAUAAAUUAUCUAUGGUGGAGAAUUUUUUUCUUAAAGUAUAUGAACUAUCAAUAAAAAUUUUACUAACUUUUAUUCGUAUGAAAAAUAUAGCAAUAUUUUACCAAAAUCAAUAUUUUAUAUAUAAUAAAAAUAUAUUAUUAUAUUGAUAAUAUUAUAUUUUAUUUUCUAAUUAAUAUUUUUAAAAGUUGUCGAGUCGCGGAGUCCGAGUCAUGUCGUGUUCCGUAUUUUGUGUCGGUGCCCGUGAUGCCUAGAUAAUUUCAUAUUUUUUUCACAAAAAAACCUCACAAGUUAAAUAUAUUUUAAAUAUAUAGAAAAAAAAUAGGUUGUAAAAUUUUAACUUAAUAAGUAGAUAUUCAAUUUUGCUAUUUCUUUGCCUUUUAUUUUAAAGUCGAAGUGAUAAAAAAAAAAGAAAUUAGAGAAAAUAUAAUGAGAAAAAAGGAGGAAAAAAUAGAAAGGAAAAAAAUGGGGGGAGGAAUGUGAGAAGAAAGGGAAAGAGAAAGUGGAAGAGAAGAAAAUGUAGAAGUGAAGAGAAGAGAACAUUAGGAAUAAUGGUUUUUGGGAGAAACAAAUAAAAAGGUAGAAGUAAAAUUGAAAAAAAAAAAAAAAA